UUAUAGCCGGUGUCGCCUCGCAUCACCUGGCCGGAGCCAAUCAAACCUGCGCCGCCGCCUCCCCAAGCCCUCCGUCGACCUCGCCUGCCGGAGCUGGAAGCUGUGGCCAAUCAAACCUGCGCCGCCGCCUCCCCAAGCCCUCCGUCGACCUCGCCUGCCGGAGCUGGAAGCUGUGGCCAAUCAAACCUGCGCCGCCGCCUCGCCUCGUCUCCCCAUGCCCUCCGUCGACCUCAUCUGCCGGCGCGGGAGGAGCACUCCGCCGGCGCCUGCUGCCGGGAUGACCCCGCCAUCGCCAUGCUGCACGCCCUCCCUCACCACGCACGCCCUGCCCCGGGACGUCGCCGUAAGUCCAGGCUGCAGUUAUGCGUUGAUGAAGGAGAGCAUGAAUGCCCACAUAAGUGUUUGGGAGUAUUAAUUCUUCUGACCUUGAAGAAGCAUCAAGACAACAAUGUCACAAGCAGCUCCGAGACAACAUCGCAUUCCUCGGCGGGCCACCACACCCAUGCCCUUCGUCGGCGCAGCAUGGGUUCUGCUCCUUCUCCCCGGCCAACUCUGGUCGCCGUCCGAGCUCUAGCCGGAGGAGGAGUCCCGGAUAAAUCCGUGGAGAUAGCUCACUCAGUAGUACGCCAGGCGCUCAAACACAUGCCCUCAGCGACGUUGUCAUCAGGUCUCAUAUAUCUAAGAUAUACAUGUCUAAUAGUCUACUAGGAAGCAUGGCAGCCUGCCAACAUGUGGUGGUGACGUAGCACAAGUGACCGGCUGGACCAUGCUCCACCGGCUGCCACCCAUGCGUAGGUGCACGAGGGAGUUGAAGCCUGAGAUAGAGAGGUUUAGAGGGAGGAGAUGAGCGGCUGGCGACCACGUACAACUGCACUCUGGCCCGCGUCACCACCUCGCCAUGCACCCUCCUGCUCGGGCCUCCCCGCCGCCCAGACCAACAAGAUGCGACAGUGCUGCCCGUACCCUUCUCCCUGGUCAGUUCCAUCGCUGGCGCCUGCUGCGGGGUGAGGCUGCCAUGCUGCACGCCCUGCUCCAGGACAUUGCCGUACCUCCAGGUUGCAGUUAUAGGAGAGGAUGCAUGCCCAGACAAUUGUUUUGGAGCAUUCUUCAGACCUUGAAGCAACACCAAGACAACAUCGUCACAAGGAGCUUGAUUUAGUUUCCCUGAAUGGACUAGUGUAUCAAGUUGGUAGCUUGAUGCCUAAUUAUUGUUCAAUUUUAUAGGCUCCAGUUAUGUGUUGAUGAAGGAGAGCAUGCAUGCCCAGAUAGUUGUUUUGGAGCAUUCUCCCCAGCCAACUCUGGUCGCCAUCCGAGCUCUAAGAGGAGUCCUGGAUAAAUCGGUGGAGAUAGCUCACGCAGAAGUGCGCCGGCCGCUCAAACACAUGCCCUCAGCGUCGUCAUCGUCAGGUGCAACGCUGAGACAAAGGCAGCCAUGUCGAUGCUCAUCUGCAAUGGGUGUUAGAGCCUCUUUACGUACAACCACAGUGCCACUGGAACUGUCUCAACUCCACAAGAGCAGUGAGGAGCGACGACAGGGAGGAAAUGGGCGCGACCGAGCAGGAGGUCAAGAUGGCUUCCCCAAUGUCCAUCGAGGCGGCCUCGGCGCUGCCCUUCAGGAGAUUGUCAACCUCGCCACCCAAAGUUGGAGAGGAUCAAAGGCUGAGUGGACACCCCACAGUCACGCCAUGGCUGAGUUUCCAGUUAACAGAAACUAAGCAUUUGGACCACUCCGGCCUUUUUAGUCUAUAGAGGCGACAUAGGAGCUGUGGUACAUGUGUUGAGGCCCUUCCUCGGUCGUUUGACUUGGCCAAGGUGCUGAGGACCGAGGUCCAUGCUGAUGGCCUCUUAGAGCUUCUUUGCUGCCUGCCACUAGACACCGGGAGAAAGAUGGUGGUGGCCGCAGGGAGCAUGGGAGCUAUGGUGGCAGCUGGACGCUAGGAGCUGUCCGAGGUGGUCGAUGCCAAGGAAGAGAAUGGCGGCACAUGAAAAGAAAGGACAUGAUUUUGUCGAAAAGGGCGUCCCUAUUUUCAUCACCUGCUGGUACAAUGCGUGAGGGAAUGACUUGAUCUGGCUGUCCGAUUUGUCUCCUUGUCUCAACAGCAUGCUCUGCUUCAGCUCGCAGGCGACAUAUAGGAGCUGUGGUACAUGUGUUAAGGCCCUUCCUCGGUCGUUUGACUCGGCCAAGGCGAUGAGGACCGAGUUCCAGGGUGAUGCCCUCUUGGAGCUUCUUUGCUGCCUGCCACUUGACACCAGGAGAAAGAUGGUGGCGGCAGCAGGGAGCAUGGGAGCUAUGGUUGCAGCUGGACUCUAGGAGCUGUCCGAUGUGGUCCACGCCAAGGAAGAGAAUGGCGGCACACAAAAAGAAAGGACAUGAAUUUUCCGAAAAGGGCGUCCUAUGGUCAUCGCCUUCUGGUACAAUGCGUGAGGGAAUGACUCAAGCUGGCUGUCUGAUUUGUCUCCUUCCUUGCCUUAACAUCGUGCUUUGCUUCAGGUUGCAGUGUUGUCGUGCAGGUGACAAGGUGAGCUUGUUCAACUGGUGGCAGUCAGAGGCGACGGAGCAGCGCGUAUGUUGUUGUUCUCCCCAUGAAGAUAUGAUGUGGAUCUGGACACUUGAACCGGCCAGCGGGACAUGCUUUUAUUUGUGAUGUUGCAGUGGAUUAAGUUCUAGUUAGCUAUGCUGGCCUGGAGCAUCUUCAACAGUCUGGAGUAUUUUACCAUUGUGGUGUAUAAUGUUUUUGCUGAAAGGUUUGUAACAAAUAGGUUUUGUUGUGUGAUGUUUGCCUUGUCGAGACAUGCGAUGGCUUAUUAUUGAUGUCCUUAAUACAAACAGUUUGGCAUUAGCUAGCU